CAGGGAUGUCAGUUACAAUUACUUCUCUAGCAUAGCUCACCAUGAAUGUUAGCCAGAUGCACCUUCUCUGGCAUAGAAUGAAGCUAACUUAACCAUGGUGAAUAAUAUUUUGAUGCAAUGUUGAAUUUGGUUUGGAAAGAUUGGGAACUUUUGCAUCUAUUUCCAUGAGAGGUUUGUGUAUGCUGUGUAACAUUCUGGUCUAAUCUGUGUGAUCUAAUCUGAUGGGCCGUGGACCAGAAGAAUGGUGUUUGGGAUCACUGUGGAUUUUAGCCCUCAGAUCCCAACAGUCCUCUGUUUGAAGUUCUGUUUGGAGCUCUGGGUUAAGGAUUAAGGAGUACCAGUGAAUCUUAAGAUGGAGGAGACAGUGGCAAGUCUAACAGUACUCUAGAGAGUCCUGAAUGGAGGAGUGGAAGAAGGGCAGAGCGCUCCUAUCUGCCCAGACCACAAGUGAAGAGGGACAUGCUAUGAUUUGCAUCCCAGAGGAAGAUGCACCAAGAGGGACAAACUCCACUGAGAGGACUUAAAUAUGCUUUUUGCAGUUAGUAAGCUGAAGAACGCGGCGGGACACUAGGUCAAAGUAGGGCCUUUGGUGAUGGAAACGAAGAUGAAUGUUACAGGCAUAAUCAAUGUGGUUUUCUGAUAAAUAUUUUCUCAAGGUGUGUCCCUCAGCUAAUUAGAUGAGUGGGUGAGGAAGAGUGAGAAGUCAGGGAUGAGAUGCAGGCUCAGGCUUGGGAAACCAAGGGAGUAACAAGAGAAGCCAAUGAUUGGACAAUGACGUCAUUCCUUCAGCGGCUUUAUACGUCUGGGAACUGAAAUGCUAGGGAGUGGAAGACUGUAUGGUAAACAUUGUAGGAGUUGAGUCCGUUGCUCCCUUCUUAUCAUUUUUUUCUCAUCACAAAUAACACUUCCCAGUCAAGUAUGUGUCAUUGGGGUGUAUUGUGUGGAAUUUCCAAAUGAUCAAUAAAAACAAUAUGCUGG
rnacentral:lncRNA from 1 species